rnacentral:rRNA from 1 species
ACCGGCGCACGGGUGAGUAACACGUAUGCAACCUACCUUUAACAGGGGAAUAACCCGUUGAAAAACGGACUAAUACUCCAUAACACAGGGGUCCCGCAUGGGAAUAUUUGUUAAAGAUUUAUCGGUUGAAGAUGGGCAUGCGUUCCAUUAGCUUGUUGGUGAGGUAACGGCUCACCAAGGCUACGAUGGAUAGGGGAACUGAGAGGUUUAUCCCCCACACUGGAACUGAGACACGGUCCAGACUCCUACGGGAGGCAGCAGUGAGGAAUAUUGGUCAAUGGAGGCAACUCUGAACCAGCCAAGUCGCGUGAAGGAUGAAGGUCUUAUGGAUUGUAAACUUCUUUUGCAAGGGAAUAAAGUGGGGGACGUGUCCUCCUUUGCAUGUACCUUGCGAAUAAGGAUCGGCUAACUCCGUGCCAGCAGCCGCGGUAAUACGGAGGAUCCGAGCGUUGUCCGGAUUUAUUGGGUUUAAAGGGUGCGCAGGCGGGAUGUUAAGUCGGCGGUGAAAUUUUGCAGCUCAACUGUAAAAGUGCCUUCGAUACUGGCUUUCUUGAGUGUGGAUGAAGUAGGCGGAAUUUGUGGUGUAGCGGUGAAAUGCUUAGAUAUCACGAGGAACUCCGAUUGCGCAGGCAGCUUACUAAACCACUACUGACGCUCAUGCACGAAGGCGUGGGGAUCAAACAGGAUUAGAUACCCUGGUAGUCCACGCAGUAAACGAUGAUUACUAGUUGUUUGCGAUACAAUGUAAGCGACUGAGCGAAAGCGUUAA